AAAAAGGUGAUUCCUCUGGAUAGUGUAAUUACUGCAGUGUAUCAGUAUGUGUUCAACAGUUUCUGGCUGGUUACAGUGUGUACAUUUCCCAGUUGGGUGCUUGCCUAUUCGAUAUAAUGUUUGAUUAAGACCUGUAUGUCCGAUUCUUAGUCGAGUGAUGAUAUUUUCUUCCCUUCUUUUCCAGCCCACCUUUCUCCCUGCUCCAACAUGUUUCUGUAUAUUCUACAUAUGCCUUCCAGUUUCCUGCUCAUCCCAGUACUUCUGCCAUACUUUUUGUGCAUAGUUCUUGAUGAAUGGUUUAGCCUCAGCUUUACUUAAUGGAAUUUGUAAUUCUAUAUUCUUAAUUCUUAGUGUUUGUUUGGCCAGAAUGUCUACCUGCUCAUUUCCUUCCACACCAACAUGAGCAGGAACCCAUAUGAAUCGUGUACCUGUGCCUUUUAUUUCCAUCCUAUACAUAAUGAGAAAUAUUUCAUUAAUUAAAUCCGUUCUGACUGAUGAUCUACCAGAUCCUAUGCUUGUCUCACUCACCGGGAUAUAAACUGCUGCACCUGCACACCCUGUCUCAGGAUCUUAGGAGCCGUCUGUAAAUAAGAACACGGAGUCUGUGAAGUGCUGAUCCAAAUAAUUCUGGACUAUGCGCCAUGCUGGAAUUUUCUUUGACUUCUCCUUCAAUUCCUGCUGUAUAUUGAGGUCAACAUUUGGGGCAUUUCUCCCACUUCCACUUGCAUUGCUGAUACCGGAGAUGUUCUGAAUGAUCCACUAAUGAUUCUCAAAGCC